GUGCUUGCUUAGGCAGCCCAUAUACUAAAAUUGGAACAACACAGGGAAGAUUAGCAUGGCCAUGUGUGCGAGGAUGACAUGCAAAUUCAUGAAGUUCCAUGUAAUUAA
ensembl:snRNA U6 U6 spliceosomal RNA